UACGUAGGGUGCGAGCGUUGUCCGGAAUUACUGGGCGUAAAGAGCUCGUAGGUGGUUUGUCGCGUUGUCCGUGAAAACUCACAACUCAAUUGUGGGCGUGCGGGCGAUACGGGCAGACUGGAGUACUGCAGGGGAGACUGGAAUUCCUGGUGUAGCGGUGAAAUGCGCAGAUAUCAGGAGGAACACCGGUGGCUAAGGCGGCUCUCUAGUACGGUACUGACGCUGAGACGCGAAAGCGUGGGGAGCGAACAGG
rnacentral:rRNA from 1 species